ensembl:misc_RNA
UUGACAGCUAUGGAGAGUGAAGACUUCUGUUUAUCCACAGAGCGUUCACAGCAUGGACAGUGGUGAUGCAAGCUUCCUUCUCACCUGUCUUGCCAAUGUCCUUCAGACUUGAUCAUCUCUAGGGGAUAAGAUAGUAGCUAAUUAUCCAUGGCCCAUUCAAUUCUUGUUGUCU